rnacentral:rRNA from 1 species
AUUGAACGCUGGCGGCAGGCCUAACACAUGCAAGUCGCGCGGAUGAUGGGAGCUUGCUCCUGGAUUCAGCGGCGGACGGGUGAGUAAUGCCUAGGAAUCUGCCUGGUAGUGGGGGACAACGUUUCGAAAGGAACGCUAAUACCGCAUACGUCCUACGGGAGAAAGAAGGGGACCUUCGGGCCUUGCGCUAUCAGAUGGGCCGAGGUCGGAUUAGCGUGUUGGUGCGGUAAUGGCUCACCAAGGCUCCGAUCGGUAUCCGGCCUGAGAGGGCGGACGGACACACUGGAACUGAGACACGGUCCAGACUCCUACGGGAGGCAGCAGUGGGGAAUCGUUCGCAAUGGGCGCAAGCCUGACGACGCAACGCCGCGUGGAGGAUGAAGAAUUUCGGUUCGUAAACUCCUUUCGACCGAGAUGAACACCUCGCGAUCUAAUACAUCGCGGGGCUGACGGUAUCGAGAGAAGAAGCCCCGGCUAACUCUGUGCCAGCAGCCGCCGUAAAAC